rnacentral:rRNA from 1 species
UACGGAGGGUGCGAGCGUUGUCCGGAAUCAUUGGGCGUAAAGGGCGCGUAGGUGGCGCGGUAAGCGUGCGGUGAAAGCCUGGGGCUCAACCCCGGGUCUGCCGUGCGAACUGCUGGGCUUGAGCACUGUAGAGGCAGGCGGAAUUCCGGGUGUAGCGGUGGAAUGCGUAGAGAUCCGGAAGAACACCGGUGGCGAAGGCGGGUCUCUGGGCCGUGUCCUGACGCUCAGGCGCGAAAGCUAGGGGAGCGA